rnacentral:lncRNA from 1 species
AGAUUGAAAAAUCACAGGAAGAUCAAAGAAGUAAAAUAAUUUGCCCUUCCAAGACCAUGUCAUUGAUGGUGGCUGAAUUUGAACCCAGAUAAGUACAACCCAUGUACUUCCCCACCGGACUGUCUGCCUGCCCCCUCAAGGAUCUGCUAAGGACUUGACUCUCUGUACAGAUAAUUGCUUCAAGAGAGGAAAAAGGCAGGAGGAUCUAUCUGGUACAUAGGUUUAAACUAGGCAUCUGUGCUAAACCUGAAUGGUGGAACUACUAUAUUCUAUGUAUUGAGUAGAGGUAUACCAUAUUCAACGUAUUUCUCCACUUCACACACUGUUCAAGAAUAAACCCCAUUCUGUCUCAGCUGUGGAGAUCAAUGAAAAGACUCUGUCUUCUUGCCGCCAGAUAUGUUACCUGCACUUAGAGAAUUGAAAGUGCAAAUCAAAGGAGUGUUCUUUUGGGAAGAGAGUUUUAGCGGAAAGGUCUGGAUGCUGGUGAACUGAUGAGGAAGCAGCAGUUAUUUCUGAGAUUUAACUUUGACCUGGGCUUUGAAGAGACACCCAUUCACCACUGUUGCAACUGCAUGCUUCCAGGAACUGGAGAGCAGAAGAACUUACAACUUUUGAUGAAUUCAUCAAGCAAAAGGUGUUUGCAGUUCCUGGAAGACAUGCUAACAAAUAAUGAAACACAUGUAAAAGGACAUCAAUAGCAAGGACUAUUCCUGAUUUCCAGCUCUGAUGUGCAUUUCA